GACGAACGCUGGCGGCGUGCUUAACACAUGCAAGUCGAGCGGUAAGGCCCCUUCGGGGGUACACGAGCGGCGAACGGGUGAGUAACACGUGGGCGACCUGCCCUCAGCUCUGGGAUAAGCCCGGGAAACUGGGUCUAAUACCGGAUAUGACCUCUCAUCGCAUGGUGGGUGGUGGAAAGUUUUUUCGGCUGAGGAUGGGCCCGCGGCCUAUCAGCUUGUUGGUGGGGUGAUGGCCUACCAAGGCGACGACGGGUAGCCGGCCUGAGAGGGCGACCGGCCACACUGGGACUGAGACACGGCCCAGACUCCUACGGGAGGCAGCAGUGGGGAAUAUUGCGCAAUGGGCGGAAGCCUGACGCAGCGACGCCGCGUGGGGGAUGACGGCCUUCGGGUUGUAAACCUCUUUCGACCUUGACGAAGGCCUUCGGGUUGACGGUAGGGGUAGAAGAAGCACCGGCCAACUACGUGC
rnacentral:rRNA from 1 species